CCUGACUCGGGAACAUGUUUAUGGUGGGUCCACUGGAGUCGUGGUGGUAGGCCAAGGUUCAUCAACGCGGUGGCCUAUUUAUGUACUGGGGAAGUGAAACUUUAUCCGCUUUGCACUAGGCUGUUAGAAUAAUUAGUCAAUUAACAAGGAAUUAUUAAGAACCUACUGUGUUCCAGGCACCUCGCCGGGCGCUGGGGAUCCAAUCAAUAAACAUUAAAAGCCUGCUGUGUGCCAUGCAUUGAGAAUACGAGCAGAAGGAAUGAAACAAUUCCUAUCCGAAAUUUAAUGGGGGAGGAAACUAGCAGUGAGGAGCAUGAAAAGUCUUCAGGCAGAAGAUGGUGCAUCUCAAAGGAAGAGACAGGGCCUGUAUGCAUGCAAGUUGGAGGGAGUGAAGAUGCACACCAGGCAUGGUGGACCAUCAAUACAAAGGAAACCUACUAUUGGGGAAACUUCAUCAUCCUGCAAGAUCCCAUAAGCCUCAGGACUCUACCUCAUCAGCUUCUUUUUGUAUGUGGUCUUCUGCCAGUAGAUUGUAAGCUUCUUGAUGCCAGGGACUGUCUUUG